AUAAAUGUCAGUGUUGGUUUAUUGGUCUUUGUAUGCAAGAAGCUUUAUUGUACAACUUACACAAUUUUAAAAUGGAAAAUGGUUAAAAAUGUUUACAAAAAAAGCAUGUUCUUAGAAAAUUAUGCUAGCAAAAACAUUGGGAGGAGGGAAGCAAAAAAAAAAAUCUUCAGUUCAGUGUGCAAACGUUUUAUAAAAAUAGAAAUACUAACUCUACAGGUAGCAUUUCAUGAUAAAUUAUUUAAAUAGCCUAUCUACACAAUUAUGUGAUUAACUAUUACAAUGGCAAUGAGAAAAAUAAUUUAUAAAAAUACAAGCAAUGGUAUACAAGAUGACAGGAAAAAAUACAACACAUUAGAAAUUGUAUCUGACUUUUUUUUCCAAUGCCAUUUCCUUACUGAGAAUACAUUUUCUGCAAAGAAAUUUUGACUAUGUACAGCAUUAACUUUUUAGUACUACAGUAGCUUUAAAGUUUGUUAGACAUUUGAACUCUGUUUUAUCCAAAGGUUUUUCUCAGUCACACAACAAUGAGGUAAUAUUUGUACGUAAAACUUUCACUGUGUUCAUUUUUUUCCUUUUUUGAAAGGACAAGGAAAUAUAAUAGGUAUAAUGAUGCUGCCCCUUCUGUUGGGGAAAACAGUCUUCUGUUAAUGAAAAAUCAAGCCCUUUCCCUCUUUUGCAAGGAGCUCCUGAAAUUCUGUCUAGUCUGUGAAGAAUUCCUUCUUUUGUUGCCACACAUCACUAGUUACGAGAAUGAGUGUGCAGUGGCACAAACAGCUGGUUUGAAUGGUUACGGCUUGUGGUCAUUGUGCCUCUCUGCAGCCUCCUUAGAACAGGUAUUCUGGUUUUGUAUCAGGCCCACUGACCAGUGGUAAAGCACUGCAGACAUUUCCCAGCACUAAAUAACCACUAAGAUUGUGAACGUUAUCCCUAGCGCUAGGGGUAAGGGAACGAGACAGGAACUGCUACCAUCCCAAGGGACUUGAGUUUUAGCACUGCAGAACAGUUGCCUGCCAAGCUACCAACUGCCUUGCAUUAAGGAAGGAAAAGCCAAUACUGAGCUCAAAAUGAGAAAAAAAAAACACCAAACAUCCUAUCCCCCACCCCACCACUUCUCCCUGCACCUCAAAGCCUUUAUAAGAAAACUGGUCUUUGUAACAAAUACAUCAGCACUAUCUGCUCCAGACAAGAUGAUUUUUUUUUCUCAUCUAAACCCUCUCUAGUUUCCAUAUAGAACAGAGUUAAUAAAUAAUCUGUAUUUACAAUCUAACAGUCAUGAAGACUUGUAACAAUGAUUAGGUGGAUAGUCUUGACGCAGUUCUUGUUGCAUUAAUCAAUAAUCCCUCAGUCAUUAUAACAUCAAGGAUAGGUAAAAAUAAAUAUUUUACAAUUUCAGUAUUUUAUCUAUAAGGCCCCUUCCCCUCCCCUCCAAAGUGAGGGGUUUAAAGCAUCUAUGACAUGUAGAAAAGGAAUGUUUUCAUUACUAUUAUAUUUGUGC
rnacentral:lncRNA from 1 species